rnacentral:rRNA from 1 species
AACGAACGCUGGCGGCAUGCCUAACACAUGCAAGUCGAACGAGACCUUCGGGUCUAGUGGCGCACGGGUGCGUAACGCGUGGGAACCUGCCCUUAGGUUCGGAAUAACUCCCCGAAAGGGGUGCUAAUACCGGCUAAUGUCUUCGGACCAAAGAUUUAUCGCCUUUGGAUGGGCCCGCGUUGGAUUGGCUUGUUGGUAGGGUAAAAGCCUACCAAGGCGACGAUCCAUAGCUGGUCUGAGAGGAUGAUCAGCCACACUGGGACUGAGACACGGCCCAGACUCCUACGGGAAGCAGCAGUGGGGAAUAUUGGACAAUGGGCGAAAGCCUGAUCCAGCAAUGCCGCGUGAGUGAUGAAGGCCUUAGGGUUGUAAAGCUCUUUUACCCGGGAUGAUAAUGACAGUACCGGGAGAAUAAGCUCCGGCUAACUCCGUG